rnacentral:rRNA from 1 species
GAUGAACGCUGGCGACGUGCCUAAUACAUGCAAGUCGAGCGAACAGACGAGGAGCUUGCUCCUCUGACGUUAGCGGCGGACGGGUGAGUAACACGUGGAUAACCUACCUAUAAGACUGGGAUAACUUCGGGAAACCGGAGCUAAUACCGGAUAACAUGUUGAACCGCAUGGUUCAACAGUGAAAGACGGUUUUGCUGUCACUUAUAGAUGGAUCCGCGCCGCAUUAGCUAGUUGGUAAGGUAACGGCUUACCAAGGCAACGAUGCGUAGCCGACCUGAGAGGGUGAUCGGCCACACUGGAACUGAGACACGGUCCAGACUCCUACGGGAGGCAGCAGUAGGGAAUCUUCCGCAAUGGGCGAAAGCCUGACGGAGCAACGCCGCGUGAGUGAAGAAGGUCUUCGGAUCGUAAAACUCUGUUAUUAGGGAAGAACAAAUGUGUAAGUAACUAUGCACGUCUUGACGGUACCUAAUCAGAAAGCCACGGCUAACUACGUG